rnacentral:snRNA from 1 species
ACACUUGAAUGACCGGGUCAAUAAGCUAAGAAGAGGGCUCAUGGCCAAGGUUGGGGGGACCUCCGCUGUACUUUGGAGGGGCACCUGCCUAGGCUCGGCUCAAAUAGUUGAGGCUACAUCAUAAUUUGUGGUAGUGGGGUCUACAUUCUGCUGUUGAAUUUA